AGCUUUGCGCAGUGGCAGACCGUAGCCAGUGAGGAUUAUCCGAGGCGAGAUUAUCUCGGAUUGAAGACUUUCCCAACACCUGCCACGGUGCCUUGACGUGCCGUCGGCAUUGACAACUUUUGACAGUCUCUGUGGGGA